AUCAUUUAUUUUGCUAUACAUAUUUAUUACUUCCACCAUACACUUAGUUUACUUUAAGAAAAAAUUACAGGAACAACCCCUCAAUUUUAGUCCAAUUUUAUUUAUAUCCCUUCGAUUUUAAAAUGUGUCAAACUAGUUCUUCAAAUUUUUGAAAUAUUUCAAUAUGAUCCUACUAUUUAUUUACCAACUAACGAUAUUAAUAUUUUACUUUAAUAAAUAAAAAUAUCCUUUGCUCAUAUUGAAUUGAUCACCGGAAAGGAAGAGAUGGAGGUGGAGAGAGUUAUCAUGGAGGGGGAGGAUGGGAUCGCGGAGGUCAAUGUGGAAGGAGAAGACGGCGUCAGACACCUUAUAGGUGGGAUUGGAGGAGGAGGAAGAGGAGGAGAAAAGGUUAGGAGGAAGAGGAUGAGAAAGAAAGGAAAGCACUCAUGGAUGGGCUUAGAGGAGGAGGAAGAUGAUGAGGAGAAGUGGGUAAGGAAAAAGAAGAAGAGGAAGAAAGAGAGGUUGUUGGCAAGGAAGGGUGGAGGUGGAGGAGGAGGAGAUGGGAAGGAGAGAUGGGCGGGUUUGGAGGAGGAGAAGUGGGAGAGGAAAAAAGAGAGAAAGAGGAGGAAGGAGGUUCAUCGAUGAGGUGAGCGGAGGUGAAGGGAGCCACCAUAGAUGAGACAGUUCAUAAGUGGGCUUGGAGGAGGAGGAAAAGAAGGUGGAGAAGAAGUAGAUGAAGAGAAAGAGAAGGGGGAA
rnacentral:lncRNA from 1 species